UACAGGCUGGUAUAAAUAAUACAAGUUAAGCUUUGAUGGAUUGCCUUUGUAUUGUAUUCCCUCCUCGCAUUCUGAGGGCGUCCCUCACCUGCUCAAGAAGUUGCUCUUUACCCACGUUCCAUCUGACUGCAUCUACAGUCUUUUUCUUGCUGCAAUACUCAUGUUGGUUUGAGGAUAAUUGGUCAUAUGAUUUGUGACGUUGCUUUGUUACACAUAUCAUGGCGAAUCAUGCAACACUAGGUUUACUUGAAGGGGAAGUACCAGAUUCCACGCGCCGAUUUGCAAUCGUUUGGAAGUCAUGCUUAAAUCUUUUUCUUCCCGUGAAUUGCUAUCUGAAGAAGAACCUCCCUUGAAAUACCUCAACCGAAAGCGAAAUGACGCAAGUAUGUCAGUUGUCAUCUUCCUGCACAAAUUCACCAUACAUCUACGUGAAUUACGGAACUGCUUCAUCCGUCGCAGGAUCCAGGAAUCCGUCGUUUACGGUCAUAUUGUCGCGGGAUGAAACCUCAUAGCAUGAUGAAUCUUCCAUCUUGUGGCAAGCCUGUACUAAACGAUUAGGUUUCCUUCAACAGAGACUGCAUUCAAAAGUAUAAGUUAUAUUCGGCUCCUCUAGCACAGGUUGCUACAAAAUUGGGUAUUAGCAUCAUACCUCUGGAGGUGCCAUACAAGUUCACCAAAAUUAUCGCUACGGGAACAAGUGGCGAUUUCUUCAAGUGGAAUUCAAAUCGAUGCAAUUUUGAGGUCAGAGUGUGCGUUGUCUGAAACAGAGAGACAGUCGUCUGUCAUGAACUUUUGGAUUCUUUCGUGAUUGUGUCGAAAAAUUUCUUCUGCAGUGCGAUCUGAGCCGUGACAUAUAAUUUCAAAACUGGUGUUAUUCUGCUGGGGAGCAGG
rnacentral:lncRNA from 1 species